UUAGAUAUGGUGUAAUGGGAACGCUGUCUCUUUUUAUAUCUCUUCAAUGUCUAUCGUAUACAGAGGGAGUCCAAGGUUCGAGUCCCUGUGUCUGAG